rnacentral:rRNA from 1 species
GACGAACGCUGGCGGCGUGCCUAAUACAUGCAAGUUGAGCGAUGAAGAUUGGUGCUUGCACCAAUUUGAAGAGCAGCGAACGGGUGAGUAACGCGUGGGGAAUCUGCCUUUGAGCGGGGGACAACAUUUGGAAACGAAUGCUAAUACCGCAUAACAACUUUAAACAUAAGUUUUAAGUUUGAAAGAUGCAAUUGCAUCACUCAAAGAUGAUCCCGCGUUGUAUUAGCUAGUUGGUGAGGUAAAGGCUCACCAAGGCGAUGAUACAUAGCCGACCUGAGAGGGUGAGCGGCCACAUUGGGACUGAGACACGGCCCAAACUCCUACGGGAGGCAGCAGUAGGGAAUAUUCGGCAAUGGACGAAAGUCUGACCGAGCAACGCCGCGUGAGUGAAGAAGGUUUUCGGAUCGUAAAACUCUGUUGGUAGAGAAGAACGUUGGUGAGAGUGGAAAGCUCAUCAAGUGACGGUAACUACCCAGAAAGGGACGGCUAACUACGUG